GACGAACGCUGGCGGCGUGCUUAACACAUGCAAGUCGAACGGAAAGGCCCUGCUUUUGUGGGGUGCUCGAGUGGCGAACGGGUGAGUAACACGUGAGUAACCUGCCCUUGACUUUGGGAUAACUUCAGGAAACUGGGGCUAAUACCGGAUAGGAGCUCCUGCUGCAUGGUGGGGGUUGGAAAGUUUCGGCGGUUGGGGAUGGGCUCGCGGCUUAUCAGCUUGUUGGUGGGGUAGUGGCUUACCAAGGCUUUGACGGGUAGCCGGCCUGAGAGGGUGACCGGCCACAUUGGGACUGAGAUACGGCCCAGACUCCUCCGGGAGGCAGCAGUGGGGAAUAUUGCACAAUGGGCGGAAGCCUGAUGCAGCAACGCCGCGUGCGGGAUGACGGCCUUCGGGUUGUAAACCGCUUUCGCCUGUGACGAAGCGUGAGUGACGGUAAUGGGUAAAGAAGCACCGGCUAACUACGUG
rnacentral:rRNA from 1 species